rnacentral:rRNA from 1 species
UGAUGGCGACCGGCGCACGGGUGAGUAACACGUAUCCAACCUGCCGAUAACUCGGGGAUAGCCUUUCGAAAGAAAGAUUAAUACCCGAUGGCAUAAUUAGACCGCAUGGUCUUGUUAUUAAAGAAUUUCGGUUAUCGAUGGGGAUGCGUUCCAUUAGGCAGUUGGUGAGGUAACGGCUCACCAAACCUUCGAUGGAUAGGGGUUCUGAGAGGAAGGUCCCCCACAUUGGAACUGAGACACGGUCCAA